rnacentral:lncRNA from 1 species
GUCAGGAAUAUGGCCAUUGUUAUAUUAUUGUUCGUUUCUGUGUGUGUUACAUUUUAACGUUGCGUCGUUUGUUUUCUCUUAUUUUUGAGUGUAAUUUCACAUUGCGAUAAGACGUGUCACGGUACUUGUCUAUCCCAAAUUCAUGUAUUUGGUUUUGAUGUUAUAUUUGUUAUUUUCGUGGGAUUUUGGUUCGUUUCUGUGUGUGUUACAUUUUAGUGUUGUGUCGUUGUUCUCCUCUUAUAUUUAAU